UCAAAAUUUCUGAGAAUGUAAGGCCAACGUAAGAUUUUACACGGAACUAUUUCCAUUUUCGCGCGUAAGACUACGUCAUAAAGACAGAGGAGGGGGUAUAGACAGCGGACUUCAGACGCGCAGCGUAGACUUCCCUUAGUCAUCUUACGACUGUGCUGUGAGGAGGGUGUUUUGCUCGGUGGUUUCAAAUCCUUUGUGUGCAGUUGUGUGAAUCUCUUCUGUAUUGUUCUACAACAAACAGGAGCCGGAUACAGUCUCACCGUUCGAGAUGGCAUUGGGACAAGCGGAGGGAGUUGGUGUUCGCAACGAUGCUGAAGCGUACUGCACGCUCGGGGACCCCAUGUUCUCCAGUCUCUGCGCCUUUCGUUGGCUUAGUUUAUAUAUUAUAUUGUAUGCAUUGGUUUG